CAGAGGUAUCUUCAUGUUUAUAUCGUUGUCCUUUUUUAAUCCCUCCACCCAUUCGUUUUUGCGUGUAGUCCAUCUGACUUUUUACUUAAUUUCUUUUUCUCAUGUUGGUUCAAUGUAGGGUUCUACAAACCGUGCCGCUCGGUGAAAUUCUAAAAGGUCUGCUGAACACCAACCACGCACUAGGGACAAUGACAUGGAGGAACAGGAUGACCAGGGCGUCGAACAAUUCCGUGUAGUAAAACAUCAGAAACGGAAGGCGUCCACACAUGUUGUAGUUUGAGGGGCAGACGCUUCAUCUUCUGCAGCAGCUAAUGAGGUAGUUUUUAGUUGUAUUUUUUUUGUCAUUCCACUUUUUCGCUUGAUAUGUGUGUAUAUCUAGUUCCUUUUUCUCAUAGCACAUGUACUUUUAGUUUUUGUCUACAAAGUCAGACAAUAUACCUAUUUGUGUAGUUUUUUCAUAGUGUACAGCAAAAAAUUAUGUGUUUAAUAGCAUGAUUUAAUAGUACGGCAGUGUUCUACUCA